AAAAUUAGAGUGUUCAAAGCAGGCAGAUCCAAUUUUCUGCCACCGAAUACAUUAGCAUGGGAUAAUGGAAUAGGACCCUGUCCUCCUAUUUUCAGUUGGUUUUGGCAGCGCGAGGACUAGGGUAAUGAUUAAUAGGGAUAGUUGGGGGCAUUAAUAUUUAAUUGUCAGAGGUGAAAUUCUUGGAUUUAUGAAAGAUUAACUUCUGCGAAAGCAUCUGCCAAGGAUGUUUUCAUUAAUCAAGAACGAAAGUUAGGGGAUCGAAGACGAUCAGAUACCGUCGUAGUCUUAACCAUAAACGAUGCCGACCAGCGAUUAGGAGACGUUGAAUACAAAACACCACCAUCGGUGCGGUCGUCCUUGGCGUCGGUCUUCGGGGCCGGCGCGGGGACCGCUUAGCCCGGUGGCACCGGUGAA
rnacentral:rRNA from 1 species